rnacentral:tRNA from 2 species
CAGGACGUAGCUAAACACCAAAGCACUCAGCUUACACCUGAGAGAUACCUGCCCACAACCCAGGUCAUCCUGA